rnacentral:rRNA from 1 species
UACGGGGGGGGCAAGCGUUGUUCGGAAUUACUGGGCGUAAAGGGCUCGUAGGCGGCCAACUAAGUCGGACGUGAAAUCCCCAGGCUCAACCUGGGAACUGCGUCUGAUACUGGAUGGCUUGAAUCCGGGAGAGGGAUGCAGAAUUCCAGGUGUAGCGGUGAAAUGCGUAGAUAUCUGGAGGAAUACCGGUGGCGAAGGCGGCAUCCUGGACCGGCAUUGACGCUGAGGAGCGAAAGCCAGGGGAGCAAAGCGGG